GCCACUUAGUCCAAGACUUUGGAAACAAUCCCAUAAGGUGAGUUGAUGAAUGAUCCACAGGAUGCUUUAUCCACUAUGGCCUUAUUUUAUUACUCCAAUACCAUAUAAAAGAUUUGGAGAAGCAUCUUCUCCGGCAUCUCAUAGGUGGGGCAUUUUAAUAGUGUUUCCUUGAAACAUCCCCAAGCAUCGUACCACAGUUCUUCAAGGUAUUUGCAUAAACGAACAAUCUUAUCCUGCAACUUCAACAAUCUAAAUAGUGGGAAGUAAUGACAUAAGAAGUCCUCCAUAAGACUUGUCCAUGAAGUAAUAGAUCCGACGGGGAAAUAACUUAUCCAUAGCACUGCCUUUCUCAUUAGAG
rnacentral:lncRNA from 1 species